CUCUGUCAACUGCUGUCCUCACACUGCUGCCGGGGACAUCUGCUUCUACAGAGAACACACAGCUUCAGCUGUGGUUGCUCCAAUGCACUCUUGGGCUCCAUGCAGAAAGCAGAGUAGGGUGUCUGGCUCCACCCAGGCUGAUCCAGCUCCAUGCUGCUGAUGUUUGGAGGAGGUCUGCAGUCCUGGAAGGCCCAGCUGAGAAUGAAUUGCUCAGUCCCAGGAUCAGCCCUGGAUCCUUCACUCACCAGGAGAACAGAAGGACAGCUCACUAUGGACUUGGUGAAAAUCCAACCUCAGCCCUUCAAACCUUGCAGCUGAGAGCCAGGUCCCCUCUGUCUUGUGUGUCCUGUGU